rnacentral:rRNA from 1 species
AAGUCGAGCGAGAACCGGACCUUCGGGUCCGGGGACAGCGGCGAACGGGUGAGUAACACGUGGGUAACCCACCCUUGGCACCGGGAUAGCCCGGGGAAACCCGGAUUAAUACCGGAUGGCCCGACAGCCUUUCGGGGCGGUCGGAAAAGGUAGCUUCGGCCUCCGGCCAUGGACGGGCCCGCGGCGGAUUAGCUUGUUGGCGGGGUAACGGCCCACCAAGGCGACGAUCCGUAGCUGGUCUGAGAGGACGAUCAGCCACACUGGGACUGAGACACGGCCCAGACUCCUACGGGAGGCAGCAGUGGGGAAUCUUGCGCAAUGGGCGAAAGCCUGACGCAGCGACGCCGCGUGAGGGAAGAAGGCCUUCGGGUUGUAAACCUCUUUCAGGAGGGACGAAGCCACUCGGGUGAAUAGCCCAGAGGGUGACGGUACCUCCAGAAGAAGCCCCGGCUAACUACGUGCCAGCAGCCGCGGUAAUACGUAGGGGGCAAGCGUUGUCCGGAUUUAUUGGGCGUAGAGAGCGUGUAGGCGGCUUCACAGGUCCGCUGUGAAAACUCGAGGCUCAACCUCGAUCUGUCGGUGGAAACCGUGAAGCUAGAGUCCGGAAGAGGAGAGUGGAAUUCCCGGUGU